rnacentral:rRNA from 1 species
GCUGGCGGCAGGCCUAACACAUGCAAGUCGGACGGUAACAGGAGAGAAGCUUGCUUUUCUUGCUGACGAGUGGCGGACGGGUGAGUAACGCGUGGGAAUCUACCCUUUAGUUGGGGACAACAUAUGGAAACGUAUGCUAAUACCGAAUAUGCUCUACGGAGUAAAGGUGCCCUCUCCUUGGAAGGUAUCGCUAAAGGAUGAGCCCGCGUUAGAUUAGCUAGUUGGUAGGGUAAAGGCCUACCAAGGCGACGAUCUAUAGCUGGUUUGAGAGGAUGAUCAGCCACACUGGGACUGAGACACGGCCCAGACUCCUACGGGAGGCAGCAGUGGGGAAUAUUGCACAAUGAGGGAAACCUUGAUGCAGCCAUGCCGCGUGUGUGAAGAAGGCCCGAGGGUUGUAAAGCACUUUCAAUUGUGAGGAAGAUUAAGUAGCUAAUACCUGCUUAGUUUGACGUUAACUUUAGAAGAAGCACCGGCUAACUCUGUGCCAGCAGCCGCGGUAAUACAGAGGGUGCAAGCGUUAUUCGGAAUUACUGGGCGUAAAGCGCGCGUAGGCGGACUGUUAAGUCGGUUGUGAAAGCCCUGGGCUCAACCUAGGAACUGCAUCCGAUACUGGCAAUCUAGAGUUUAAGAGAGGGAAGUGGAAUUCCAGGUGUAGCAGUGAAAUGCGUAGAUAUCUGGAGGAACAUCAGUGGCGAAGGCGACUUCCUGGCUUAAAACUGACGCUGAGGUGCGAAAGCUUGGGUAGCGAACGGGAUUAGAUACCCCGGUAGUCCAAGCCGUAAACGAUGUCAACUAGCUGUUGGUCUUAUUAAAAAGAUUAGUAGCGCAGCUAACGCGAUAAGUUGACCGCCUGGGGAGUACGGUCGC